rnacentral:rRNA from 1 species
GACGAACGCUGGCGGCGUGCUUAACACAUGCAAGUCGAACGGUAAGGCCCUUCGGGGUACACGAGUGGCGAACGGGUGAGUAACACGUGGGUGAUCUGCCCUGCACUUCGGGAUAAGCCUGGGAAACUGGGUCUAAUACCGGAUAGGACCCUGGGAUGCAUGUCCUGGGGUGGAAAGCUUUUGCGGUGUGGGAUGGGCCCGCGGCCUACCAGCUUGUUGGUGGGGUGAUGGCCUACCAAGGCGACGACGGGUAGCCGGCCUGAGAGGGUGACGGGCCACACUGGGACUGGGAUACGGCCCAGACUCCUAGGGGAGGCAGCAGUGGGGAAUAUUGCACAAUGGGCGCAAGCCUGAGUCGGCGACGCCGCGUGAGGGAUGACGGCCUUCGGGUUGUAAACCUCUUUCAGCACCGACGAAGCGCAAGUGACGGUAGGUGCAGAAGAAGGACCGGCCAACUACGUGCCAGCCGCCGCCGUAA